rnacentral:tRNA from 1 species
AGGGGUGUAGCUCAGUGGCAGAGCAUUUGCCUAACAUGCAUGAGGACCUAGUUCUAUUUCCAGCACCACCA